UUUUAUGGCCAUUCCACCCUGUGCGCGCCCGAUCUCAUCUGAUCUCGGAAGCUAAGCAGGGUUGGGCCUGGUUAGUACUUCGAUGGGAGACUGCCUGGGAAUACCAGGUGCUGUAAGCU
ensembl:rRNA 5S_rRNA 5S ribosomal RNA